GGAGAGAUGGUCGAGCUGGCUUAAGGCACCGGUCUUGAAAACCGGCGUGGGUCAAACCACCGUGGGUUCGAAUCCCACUCUCUCCGCCA
rnacentral:tRNA from 1 species